rnacentral:tmRNA from 1 species
GCAUCAGAAGCGAGCCGAGGUCCCCAAUGCCUCGUUAAAAGUGGGAUUUAAUUUAACUGCAAACAAUAAUUACGCUUUAGCUGCUUAGAUCGGCUAACGUCCCUUAUUUCUCCGUCCGUUAGAAACAAGACCGACGUCAAAUUACGGACUACCCUUUUGGCGCCGCCCGGAGCCGAGAUGGGGAAACUUACGGGCUGGUUCAUUCUUCAACUGGCUGCAGAGUAGUCGGAUGAACGAGAAUUAGACUGCAGCUGCGCUCGGAGAUGCUGGUGUGAUUUCACUUGCGGACAGCGGUGCAACUCCGCUCACCUCCACCA